UACGUAGGGUGCGAGCGUUGUCCGGAAUUAUUGGGCGUAAAGAGCUCGUAGGCGGUUUGUCGCGUCGGCCGUGAAAACUUGGGGCUUAACCCCGAGCCUGCGGUCGAUACGGGCAGACUUGAGUUCGGCAGGGGAGACUGGAAUUCCUGGUGUAGCGGUGAAAUGCGCAGAUAUCAGGAGGAACACCGGUGGCGAAGGCGGGUCUCUGGGCCGAUACUGACGCUGAGACGCGAAAGCGUGGGGAGCGAACAGG
rnacentral:rRNA from 1 species